rnacentral:rRNA from 1 species
UACGUAGGUGGCAAGCGUUAUCCGGAAUUAUUGGGCGUAAAGAGCGCGCAGGUGGUUGAUUAAGUCUGAUGUGAAAGCCCACGGCUUAACCGUGGAGGGUCAUUGGAAACUGGUCGACUUGAGUGCAGAAGAGGGAAGUGGAAUUCCUAGUGUAGCGGUGGAAUGCGUAGAUAUUAGGAGGAACACCAGUGGCGAAGGCGACUUUCUGGACUGUAACUGACGCUGAGGCACGAAAGACGUGGGGAGGCAAACAGGAUUAGAUACCCG